GGAAGUAAAAAGUCGUAACAAGGUUUCCGUAGGUGAACCUGCGGAAGGAUCAUUACCGAGUGAGGGUUUCUCCGAAGCCCAACCUCCCACCCGUGUAUACCGUACCCUGUUGCUUCGGCGGGCCCGCCUCACGGCCGCCGGGGGGCCUCGCGCCCCCGGGCCCGCGCCCGCCGAAGACCCCAACACGAACACUGUCUGAAAAGUGCAGUCUGAGUCGAUUGUUACCAAUCAGUCAAAACUUUCAACAAUGGAUCUCUUGGUUCCGGCAUCGAUGAAGAACGCAGCGAAAUGCGAUAACUAAUGUGAAUUGCAGAAUUCAGUGAAUCAUCGAGUCUUUGAACGCACAUUGCGCCCCCUGGUAUUCCGGGGGGCAUGCCUGUCCGAGCGUCAUUGCUGCCCUCAAGCACGGCUUGUGUGUUGGGCCCCGUCCCCGGUACCCCCGGGGACGGGCCCGAAAGGCAGCGGCGGCACCGCGUCCGGUCCUCGAGCGUAUGGGGCUUUGUCACCCGCUCCGCAGGCCCGGCCGGCGCCAGCCGACCAACCCAACCAUUUUCUACAGGUUGACCUCGGAUCAGGUAGGGAUACCCGCUGAACUUAAGCAUAUCAAUAAGCGGA
rnacentral:misc_RNA from 1 species